UCAACGGGGGAACCCAUGCUGGAGUAACACCGCGUGGUGGAUGAUGGCCUCGGGUUGUUACUCCUUUUAGUGGGGAAGAGUAGAAGACGGUGCCACAGGAAUUAGCCUCGGCUAAUUACGUGCCAGCAGCCGCGGUAAUACGUAGUAGGCGAGCGUUGUCCGGAAUUACUGGGCGUAAAGAGCGCGUAGGCGGUGGAAUAGUCGGUGAAGAAAGACCUGGGCUCAACUCAGGGAACGGCACCGAUACUAUCGGUCUUGAGGCAAUCAGAGGAUGAUGGAAUUCCCGGUGUAGCGGUGAAAUG
rnacentral:rRNA from 1 species